rnacentral:lncRNA from 1 species
GUGCAGGCUCAUGUGAGCUCCAUGCAGACCUCAGGGAUGGAGACGCCCUGCCCUGCAUUCCCCAAGGCCACCCUGAGGAGCCCAGCAGUGCCUUGGCCUAGGCGCUUGGUCAGGGACGCCCUCCCUGCUGGACACUUGGCAGUCAAAACAGGACCUUGGUGGCAUCUGGGAAGUUCUGGAACAUUCUCAGCCUGAGAUGCGGAAGAGGCAUCAGCCCUCCCCUCCUCCCAAAACACUCGGGAUGGCUGGAAGCUGGAGCCUCCGUCCACAGCCCACCCCUUUUAGGGGCCCCCACAUUGGGCAUGGUUAGUUCUCACACGCAGGAUCCGGCACACACGCCAUCUCGACAAGGAUGCCUGGGCCCCUGCAGAGGCACGGUGGUGUGCACGGCUCAUUCUCGCCUUACUCUCCCCAUCUGUGGACGAGGCAUCCUGAGGUCGCCCCUGCAGAGGCGUGGAGAUGUGUGUGGCUCAUUCCCUCCUUACUCUCCCCACCUGUGGACGAGGUGUCCUGAAGUCUCCACUCCCGCUGCCCUGCCUCCCAGAUCGCUGUCAGGCUGGACAAGGGCACCAAAUGGCCCUCAGUGCAGAUUUGGAGAAUGUGUACUGGGCACCAGCCUUGGCAG